CCCUACGGGGGGCAGCAGUGAGGAAUAUUGGUCAAUGGCCGAGAGGCUGAACCAGCCAAGUCGCGUGAGGGAAGACGGCCCUACGGGUUGUAAACCUCUUUUGUCGGGGAGCAAAGCGAGUCACGUGUGACUCAUUGAGUGUACCCGAAGAAAAAGCAUCGGCUAACUCCGUGCCAGCAGCCGCGGUAAUACGGAGGAUGCGAGCGUUAUCCGGAUUUAUUGGGUUUAAAGGGUGCGCAGGCGGGAGAUCAAGUCAGCGGUAAAAUGUCGGGGCUCAACCCCGGCCGGCCGUUGAAACUGGGUUU
rnacentral:rRNA from 1 species